UACGUAUGGAGCAAGCGUUAUCCGGAUUUACUGGGUGUAAAGGGAGCGCAGGCGGCUUUGCAAGUCUGAUGUGAAAGGCCGGGGCUCAACCCCGGGACUGCAUUGGAAACUGUAAAGCUAGAGUGCCGGAGAGGUAAGCGGAAUUCCUAGUGUAGCGGUGAAAUGCGUAGAUAUAUGGAGGAACACCGGUGGCAAAAGCGGCUCUCUGGCCUGUAACUGACACUGAGGCUCGAAAGCGUGGGGAGCAAACAGG
rnacentral:rRNA from 1 species